rnacentral:rRNA from 1 species
AUGAUGUACGCCACUGGCCGCCUGGAUGUCUCCCGCGGACUCCCGCUGCUCUACUCUAUGGCGCAGUGCAACCUGGACCUACCACCGAAUGACUGCUGGGAUUGCCUCGACAAUAUCAGGAGCGCAGCAAGGGGUUCCUUCCACGAGCAACAUGGUGAAUGGAUUGCUGGUGUGUGGUGUAAUUUCAGGUACAGCACGUAUCAGUUCUACAAUGGCCAGCCCACGAAGCAGAUUCUCUGGUCGGAUGCUCUAGAUCCCACACCAAACAUGCCGGCGCCAGGGCCAGUUGGUGUUCCAAGGCAGAAAGAUAAGAGUAAGACAAUAUCAUCCUUAUAG